CUCACCUGCCUCUUCUCCUGGCAGGUGCUAAUUGGAGAUGAGCCAGAAUGUGGCAUGGAAAACCUGCUGGAGGUGCAGGUGCCUGAGGAUGUGGAACGACAGCUGCAGCAGCUGGACCGGGAGCAGCAGCAGCUGGCCCAAGAGUCAAGGGUGGAAGGGACUGCACCUACCUGAGGUCCCUUCAGCAUGGGAGUCCAGAGCCACCUUUGCCAGACCUGCUAGACCAGACCUGCCUACAGACCUUCAAAUCCCCUGUGCCCGCUGAGAAGCAGAGCUAUACUUAGGCUAGAGUGAAUGCUCAGUAAAUGUUGGAGGGUUGA
rnacentral:lncRNA from 1 species